GCGGCCGCCAGAUGGCGCCCAACGACCGGCGCGGAGGGGUCAGCGGGAGGGAACCGGGUCACCAGCCAGCGAGAGUGCACAGCCUGAGCCCACCGCCGGGUCAGGGCACAACCAAAGGGACGUCUAUCGACCCACCCACCAAGGAUUCCCCCCCCCCCCCCCCCCCCCCCGCACGGCACAGCAGGAUGCCUGAGAGAUCCACGCAGCCCUACAGCGGCAAGUCACAUUCGCACAGUCAAAAUUCAAUGGCAGAGACAAAACGUUAAGGUCAGUGGAGGGAAGAGAAUAACCGGCCCAGGAGCAACGGUGUGAAGAACACGGAGAAGACGGGUCCUAGACGCCGGGUCCCCC
rnacentral:lncRNA from 1 species